GGUAUUCCUUAUCUAUCUAAUACGUUGAUUUGUCUGGAACCUGUCCCAUUGCACUUUCUUUUCGUUUCGGGCUGUCUCUUUGUUGGCUGUGCUUCUUCACUCCAGUCACAGCGUUAACUGUGCUCCUGGGGAUGCGCGCACUUGCCGCCGCGAUACAACCCAAACUAUGUCGAAAACUAAAAGCGCAAUAAGACAGGUUCUGCGUUUAGUUGCCGCGCUCUAAAAAACU
rfam:Leclercia adecarboxylata strain I1 Leclercia_S84_R1__paired__contig_27, whole genome shotgun sequence.